UAACCUUUUGGCUAGUGAACUUAUACAAAAAAAGGGCUACUCUUGCUGAUACAACAGAUUCAACAGAACUUAUACAAAAAAAGGGCUUCUCUUUCUUGUUUUAUCUUCUAUCUAUCAUAAGAACUGAUACAACAGAUUCGUUUGAAUUGUUGCUCACAAAAAAAGGGCUACUCUUGCUUUACUUAGUGUUACGAAAAGUACUACAAAGAUUACUAUAAGAUUUGUGAACUCAAGGCCGUACAUAAGUUGUACUGAUCCACAUGGGAAGAUUUGCUAUGUACAGCUUAUGGAAUCAUACAAGAAAAAUUUUUUUCAUCUUUUUUAUGCCAUAACUACACAUCAGCAAGUCUAGCAGUGCCACCUCUCGACAUAGUCUCCUUUGCGCUAGUUACCAGUCUUGUUCCUUGGCGAAGCCUCAAUUCCUAUAAGAUCAAAAGGGCAGGCAUGAGAGAAAGAUAAAUGGAACACUACUUGUGCAGUUUGAUACUUUUUUGGCAUCCUGUAGUGGUUAUAGUCCUCUCGUGUGUUUUGCUACAAAUUACAUUACUUGAGAAUUUUUGUCUGUUUUCAACUUUAGGUCACGGAGAACCAGUAAGUUCUACUACUGGUGUAGACCAAGUUCGAGGACUUUGCUGGCGACAAACUAUGACAGUUAUCCAGCGGCACCAAUAACCUGAAAAUGUUUUUUCCUGAAAGAAUAUCAUGCAUCAUGAUUCAGAAGAUAUACAGUAGCUACACACAGACAUACAAUAGAUUUUUGUAGCAACACAUGCACCAAACUUACAUAUUUUUUCUUCAACUUAUUUUAGGUGAUUGCAUCAGUACUAGUAUGAUUGGAAAAAAAUUGUUCAUAUUUGUAGCAGCACACACACGAAACUACAGAAUUUUAUGGAAAUGCACUAGUUAUGAUUUUUUAAACUCCUCCAAUGGUUGCACAUGAACUGACCCAGGCGACCAACAGCGGCCCUAUUUUUGAACUUUUUGGUUUUGCUUGAACUUUUCCUUAUCUUUUUCUAGAACUUCACAAAAUAUGAUAAAUGUACUUUCAGUACAUUUUUCUUUGUAAAUGUUCCCUUUUACUGUGCACGGACUAUUUGAUUUAAUUUGCAAAAGAACCACACAAUUAUAUUUAUCCUCUCCCAUCUUAUUUAUCUUGUGUAGUUCUCGCUAUACUAAUGGAAUGAGGUGUUGAGCAGUAACUAAAAUCAUCAAAUAGACAACCCACUCAAGCGUCCUCCAUGAACAGAAUUAGGAUAUUACUAUUACAACCAAACAAAAAUCAAUCCUACAGCACACAUAAACCGUGAUGUCAGGAGCUACAACAAAUCAGAAUGCACAAUGGACUUCCCCUACCUAUCUAACAUUUUUGUUGCAUUAUCUCUUCUCCGUCUUACUAUCAGUUCUACACCUCAAGAUAAGUCAAGCAACUCCAAGCUUGCUUUCAGAAAAUUGGAUUAGACACGUAUGUUUAGUGCUGAUUAAUUACCUAAUGAUUUGAGCAGCUGAUGGUUGGGGCUUUGAUUUCUUUUUCUUGCACGAUAGUGGGUUUGGGCCCUGCAGAAGGAAUAUCAAAUGUUAAUGGUGCCCACUAGAUCAUAACAAGCAAAUAUAGCCGUGCUCAUGCAUAUGACGAAUAUAUGAAAAACAGUAGACGAAGAUACAACCUUUGCUCUGUUCGUCAAGCAAUUCCAGCUAGUGAAACAUGUGAUGAAGAACUGAACUCAAAAACAAGAUUUUUGGAGAUGGAAGAAGGCGUCGGACGUUGGGUGAACCUGCUACCCCUACUCCUGCGGACUGACGGCUCCAGUGAAGUGGAGCUGAUGGAGGCGGGGUUCAAGAGAACCGGCUGGGUGCACCGGGAUUUGACCGCUGUAGGGGGAUACGCUACCCCUACUCAUGCGGACUGGCGGCUCUGGUGAAGUGGAGCUGAUGGAGGCGGGGUCCAGGAGCAGCGGCUGGGAGCGCCAAGAUUUGGCUCUGUAAAGAUGAAGUGCACAUCACAUUAAAGGUGAACUAAAAAUCUUCCUAGCAACCUCGUCCUAUUUCAUUACUCAUAACAUGAUCUAUAGAAAGACUUACAUCCCAAAUAAAAUACAUGCAGAGAUGUAGUAUAGCAACAUAC
rnacentral:lncRNA from 1 species